rnacentral:lncRNA from 1 species
GGGAAGUUGAUUCUAAGGCAAUGGCACAGAGGGGAGAAUACUGGCGAUGGUUCCAGAAUGUGUUAAGAUCAAGCCUGAAACAAUGCAUGAAUGAGGAGAAGAGCCAAACGUCACAACAUAGAGUGGUUGUAGCUGUCAACGAUGGAGCAGAGAAGAAAAUGAAUUCUACGGACUUCUGUGAAAGCAUUGCCUUACCGGUGAACGCCUCGUCACAGACAGACUGACACGUCGCCAGCUGCCGCAGCCUCUGAGAGCUGAGGCCCCGUGGAUAAACCGUUCCUAGAUCCCAUCACUGUGUCACUGGAAGUCCUACUGGAAAAGCACGAACCAGUCCGUGUCAAUGCCAAGUUAAGGUGAGAGGAAUCAUUUAUCGUCUCGCCUGAAGGAGAGCUUCCCCGAAGGGGUGGCUGCGGCAGAGGACUGGCUGCCCAAAAGGAAC